GACGGCUACCAGGUCCAAGGACAGCAGCAGGCGCGAAAAUUACCGAAGCCUACAACAGGGCGGUAGUAAUGAGACGUGAAAACUAGACACGAAUAAAAUACGUGUUAGCAACUGGAGGUCAAGUCUGGUGUCAGCAUCCGCGGUAAUACCAGCUCCAGGGGUGUCUAUGAUGAUUGCUGCGAUUAAAAGGUCCGUAGUCUUAUGUCAGAACCGAUGUGUAAGAUGCUCGAUCUAAGAGCAAAAAGGAUUGGUACAGACAUACAUAUAUAGUGGUGUGUAUAUAGAGAUGUUAUAUUUGUAAUGUUGAUAUGUAUAUGGUGCAAUAUAUUGAAAUGAGGAGCGACCGGGGGCUAGAUUAUCGAGCAACGAGAGGUGAAAUUUGAUGACUUGCUUGGGAGUAACAGAGGCGAAAGCGCUAGUCAAGGGCGAAUCCGAUGAUCAAGGACGUAGGCUGGAGGAUCGAACACGAUUAGAUACCGUAGUAGUUCCAGCAGUAAACUAUGCCGACGCCGUGGGUUGUUUGACCCGCGGAAGAGAAAUCUAGUAGGGCUUUGGGGAGAGUACGCGCGCAAGCGAUAAAUUUAAAGGAAAUUGACGGAAGAACACCACAAGGAGUGGAGUGUGCGGCUUAAUUUGACUCAACGCGGGACAGCUUACCAGGCCCGAGGAUUGUACGAGCGAAUACGCGAUAGAUCUGAAAGUGGUGCAUGGCCGUUAUCGACGAAUGGAGUGAUCUUUUGGUUAAAUCCGUCAAUUCGUGAGACCCUUUUAAUUUGAUUAAUGUCAGAGGUUGAUACAGGUAUGAAAAUACAGGGGGGAAAGGACAAGAACAGGUCAGUGAUGCCCUUAGAUGGCCUGGGCUGCACGCGCACUACAGUGGUUACUUUAAACUGAAGAGACGAAUAAAUGUAAUCGAGAGGGAAUGAGCGCUGCAAGGCGCACAGGAACGAGGAAUUGCUAGUAAUCGUAGGCUCAGUAAGAUACGAUGAAUGUGUCCCUGUUC
rnacentral:rRNA from 1 species